CGAUGUUAUGAUGAUGGGCGAAAUGUUCAACUGCUCUGAAGGGGCUGAAUGAAAAUGGCCUUUCUGAACAUCC
rnacentral:snoRNA from 10 species